rnacentral:misc_RNA from 1 species
UCCUGGUUCACCCAGGCAGUCUCACCAAUGUUCCCAGCUUUACCUGUUGGUAAUAAGUGAUAAGGGUUGCGCUCGUUGCGGGACUUAACCCAACACCUCACGGCACGAGCUGACGACAGCCAUGCAGCACCUGUAAAGACUCCCUUGCGGGCACCCUCAUUUCUGAGAGCUCAGUCUCUAUGUCAAGCCCAGGUAAGGUUCUUCGCGUUGCAUCGAAUUAAACCACAUGCUCCACUGCUUGUGCGGGUCCCCGUCAAUUCUUUUGAGUUUCACACUUGCGUGCGUACUCCCCAGGCGGCACACUUAACGCGUUAGCUCCGGCACGGCUAGGGUUGAUUCCAGCCACACCAAGUGUGCAUCGUUUACCGCUAAGACUAC